UGCUCCAUGGUUUUUCAUCUUG
rnacentral:misc_RNA from 1 species